rnacentral:rRNA from 1 species
UACGAAGGGGGCUAGCGUUGCUCGGAAUGACUGGGCGUAAAGGGCGCGUAGGCGGCGGCCACAGUCAGAUGUGAAAUUCCUGGGCUUAACCUGGGGGCUGCAUUUGAUACGUGGUUGCUUGAGUGGGGAAGAGGGUCGUGGAAUUCCCAGUGUAGAGGUGAAAUUCGUAGAUAUUGGGAAGAACACCGGUGGCGAAGGCGGCGACCUGGUCCUUGACUGACGCUGAGGCGCGAAAGCGUGGGGAG